rnacentral:rRNA from 1 species
UACGUAGGGUGCAAGCGUUGUCCGGAAUUAUUGGGCGUAAAGAGCUCGUAGGCGGUCUGUCACGUCGGCUGUGAAAACCUGAGGCUCAACCUCAGGCCUGCAGUCGAUACGAGCAGACUAGAGUGUUGCAGGGGAGACUGGAAUUCCUGGUGUAGCGGUGAAAUGCGCAGAUAUCAGGAGGAACACCGGUGGCGAAGGCGGGUCUCUGGGUCUUACCUGACGCUGAGGAACGAAAGCCAGGGGAGCGAACGGG